AAUGUUGUGCUGCACUCCGUGAACAAUAUUGUUAACAAGUUGUUGAACCAUCAGUAUUGUUGCAACUUGUUGACAUGAUUGUCAACAAUUUGCAACAAUACUGAUGGUUCAACAACUUGUUGACAAUAUUGUUCACAGGGUGCAGCACAACAUU